GCUUUCUUUGACAGUACAUAUAUUCAAAUUGGAAUAAUACAGAGAUUAUUAGCACGGUUCCUGGGAGAGGAUGACAUGAAAAUUUUUAAAAUACUUACAUUAUAC